UCAUGCUGCUGUAACGACUCUCAAUCAGUCAGGUGUGAUGGGAGGGGGUCGCCAGGCAACAGACCUGUAACGUUAGCAACCAGGAGAGUUAGUUAGCUAGUUAAGUUUACUAGUGUUGCUGGUGUUAUCAGCUAACGUCCUUUAGCAACUAAUUAGGGUUGUCUACAUCUCCAUCUAUGUGUCUCCCUCUUCAGAAACCCGAGAAAAGGUGUUAAGGAUGAGGACCAAUAAGGAGCAGGACUGAGACCUGUCCUGAGACCAGGACCUGUUUCAACAAGGUUCACUCCCCACCUGAUUAAGAAACGGCGGACGGAGAGACGGACGGAGAGGUGCCCUCUUCAUGAUGUAUCUGGACGUGGCGCCGACAGCUCUGAUGACUGAUGGGAAGAGACUGUGGAGAGGUGCUGCGCUGCUUACCUGAAAACUGCUACUGCUGCUACUUCUUCAAGACGGCUGCUCCGGAGGGAAAUCCUGCUCCUCUGGAGGUGGCUCGGGUCCAACUCAAGGAUGUGUUCCCAGCUGAUACUCCUCGGAGCACUGCUUCACUUCAGCAAGGUGACUUGUUGCCAGAAGAGACAACGGUGGAAACGUGAGUGAGAGUUGGAGAGAGGAGUGGCACGGGACAUCGGCUUUGUCUCCGAGCGAGACACGCCACAACAACGGACCGGAUCAAGCGAAAGAUGAUGCACAGAUUUCUGGAUGUUCCAGUUGUGGUUCUGGAGGGCGGCUUGGCACUCCUCUAUCGUGACACCGUGAACUGCCUCCUGCACCUGGAUCACACAACAUCGACAACAGUCUCGUCCCGGUAGCUGCCCGAGCCGAGCACCACUGAGGUCAACACCAAGGACAUCGGGAGGAUCCAUGGGAUUACCGAGGUACAAACUGGAGGGAAGAGAGCGCCUGACUUAAUUACAGUAAAUGUCAAUAUACUAAAUCUACCUGACCUUGGGUGUUAUAAUGUUGCAAUAAAUUGGACAUUUGCAAUAUUGUGCUACUGCCAUCUAUUGGUGAAAGUUCAUUAUUACAACUCAGCAAAAAUGUAUCAGAUAGUCUUUCAACACCAACUUUCAUCAUGGGGUAUAAUUAUAAUAAAUAUUUAUAAAGUGAUGAAGACACA